AUGCAACUAAUUGGCAGCAGAUUCCUCUCUGCUGCCAACACGGUGCUUAGAGGAACUUGCGUCGCUCCCACACACACAGCAGACAGGAUUUCCAACACGAACAGAUCAGCCAAGGAUUGUAGCAGAAGAGUAGACCCAGUUCCUUUCCGUGGUUCAAAGCCAGAAGUAGACGUUGUAGUUUCCAAGUCCAGAAGGGGGAAGACAAGCCGUGGUCAGUUCAAUCCGAGUUUUCAAAGCAGGAGAUGGCGUCCGUCAAGAAGACGACGGAAGGUCAAGCUAAUAAGAGUAAGCACAGGUUUGCACAAACAAAUGCCCACACAAUUCCUCCCGCCGUCUGACCCUGAAUUCCAAAAACAACUUACGUCUCAGCACAGGAAAACACACCAGUCUUCAGGAAAGCGUCCCACACAGAUCCCAAGCGUUUGUCCAGAUUACCUUGCCCAACGCAAUUUGCAAUUGCUCCCAAGCCCCAUCAAACUCAAAAAAAGUACUUCUGGGGUGGCUCCGUGGUCAAACUGGAAAGAAAACCCUGUCACCAGCAGUGAGCCAUGGGAGGCUCCCCAGAAAGAUGGGUUGAGCUGGCUUAAACAGUGUGAUGUGGAAGGAGGAAGUUGGAACAGUGUGGGUCAUGGGGCGACAGGUCCCCACAUCCCCUGGACAGGUGCAGCUGUAAUUACUGCAAUCCGCAUCUAUACUGGCCGAUUCCAGUGGUGCGUGUGGCAAGGUCCAUAGUAUAAUUGUGAUCUGUUUGCACAAAGCUGUAAUCAGUAUCAAAAAAGCGUAAUAAUUUUGUCUAUUUGCAUCUGUUAGAUUAUAUUCACCUAUUUAUUUAUUUAUUUGCGACAUUUCUACCCCACCUUUCUCAACCCUGAAGGGGGCCCAAGGCAGCUUUACAUAUCAGCAACUUUUUGAUGCCUUUUAAAAACAGUGUACAACAAAAUAAACAUUUAAAAUGGAAUUAUAAAAUACAAUUAAAAACAUUUUAAAACAAUACCAUCACAAUUAAUCAUGUAAUAUCUUGAUGUAGGAAUAGAAUUUGGAGAGUCUCUUUUAAGAUAUUGAAAUAGAUUUCCCAAGCUUUGUAGAAAUGUGAAUAGUACACUCCGGUGAUCUGUGUUCAAGUCCACCUCUACUAUUAUAAUCAGUGAAGUCAGUAUCUAUCUACCCAUGUCCUCACUGUAGAAUCAUAUUUAUCCAGAGAUACUGGGCUUCCCUGGUUUCCUAAAGCUUACUCCUGUGUAGGUUUGUAUAUGAUUGCCACUACAGUGUCAUUAACUUCACUGGUUUGGUGGGAUAGCACGUACAGAAUUUUUAAUCACCAUGCCUUUUUCUGACAAGGACUGAGUUCAAAGUAUAGGUGGAAGGAGCCAUCACCUAUGAGGUUUCAAGCAGUCAAUCUUUUUCUCUAAUCACUGCAUUCCCAUUCUGAGAGCGUUCCAUUAAGCAUCACCCCCUGUGUCCUCUUUUUCUCCUUAAAAAGAUAGCUACUGAGUCUGAGACCAUGUGGAGAUCAAAUGGAGUCUCCGCUCCCAGGUGCAGUCAUAAGAGUUCAUUGCUACAAGCUUGAAGGUAGGUUUCUUGCUUUUAACAAGCAAUCUUCAUAACUUGCUAAUUAAACAAUAAGUAUAAUGAAAAACUGUUAAUUGCUUAGUUGCAUUUUUAUGAUCUAAUGGGAGUUUUUGAUUAUAAAGCACUGUUGUGAUAUGGAGCUUGUAAUGACAAGAGGGAAAUGAGGCUGAUUUAUUGGUGUUCAGCUGCAAUGUCUUUAUUGCCUACCAAAUAAAACAGCCACUCUUCUUACUUUACAAUGUAUUGUUUACACCAUCACUCAUUUCACCCUAUGUCUUGGUUUCUAACAAUCUUAAAAGCAUGAAGUGCAAUAGGAGAGUAUGUGAACUGAAUACAAUAAGAGCCAGUGAAAUGAAAGGCACUCAUAACGCCAGAUUUGAUCAUUUGAGGCUUAUGAAUCUGUAUGCAUUUGGACUCUCUGGCAUGAGACCCUUGAAUCCUAGUGGUGUAUUGUUUUAUAUAAUUCAUGCCCUUAUUAAACUUCUUUUGUUGAAGAAUCGAAGGCAUUCAUUCAGAUUACUCUACUGUGUUUGAGUUGUUUUUCUGCGUAAAAAUGUGGGGUUCUUUCCUUGGUGAAGGCAGGAAUUAAAUAUGAAAUACGGUUAUAAGGGAUGGAUUGUGCGAGAUUAUCAUUGAAAUGAAAGGCCUGUUAUAGCCUUUAUUCAUUCAUGGGAGAGGUUUCUGUCUUAGGAUGGUGAUUUUGAAAGAAACAAAUCGUAGACAGAACAAUAAGUUUAGAAUCUUCAACAGCAGGAACAUUUAUUAACAAAAUGCAUCCUUGUACAACCACAGCCUGAUCCUUUCUAAACUAAUCUAAAAGAAAAAAAUGAUGUGAAGCAGACAUGUUGCAGCAUGUCCUCUCUCAUCAAAGAGCAGAUGGAAAGAGGAUGGAGGGGUUUGGUCUGGGCCCGUUCUUUUUCAACAGAGGGCAGUCAUUUAAUUAACCCCAACUGAACCAAUGUUAUCUGCUCAAAAAGCUCAUGAGACAGCUGGCUGAUACAGGAAAGAAAGGAAAGGAAGAUGACAGAUCCUAGUCCUUCUUUGUCUAAGCCAUUGCAUCCUUAAUGGACAAGAUAGCAGGAAGAACAAGUGUAGAAACUGCUUUUUCUUCUCACAAAUACAUGGGUUGAAAUCCUAUUGGCUGAUGCAGCCAAAACAUUCUCCCAUAGUCAUUUAGUCUCUGGGUGAGGAUGAGAUGUCUCAUCAGCCAUGAGGAGAUAGAAUAUAUGAUUCUCCCAUAUUUCCAGCAUACUUGUGUGUAUUUUGCUGGGGAUCCAGGAGGAGAAUGUCAUGUCUCAUCUCCUGGGUGCAUAACAACUAGAUUCUAUCUGGACAUUUCUCAAGCCACUGAUUGACUAUUUAUUUAUUUACCCUAUUUAUACCCUGCUGUUCUCCACCCAAAAGGGGAAUCAAGGCUGCUUACAUGUGGCAAUUAUUCAAUGCCGUAAUACAUAUAAAAUUAGGCUUAAAAUAGAUUGGAUUAAAAACUAAUACAUAUUAACAUUUAGAACAUUCAAUAUUAAAAUCACUAUGAAGACAAAUUCCAGCAUGAAAAGGUCAGUUACACUGGGAUGGGAGUCAUUGUGAAAGAAGAUACUGAAUAUCUACUUGGGCCACAAUUUUAAAAAGCAUUGUCUUACUGGGCUGUUACAAAUGCAUAACCUCAAGUUACAUAUCAUGAGUGUUUUGAAUUCAUAAUCCCUACAAAAAACCUAGUUUGGAGAGAUGUAGGGAUUAUAAAAGUCCACCAAUCCCCACUCACAAGGCAGCAGUCACUGUAAUCAACAGGAAUCUGUUUCUUUGUCAUUCAGAAAGCAGCCGACUGAUGUUUCCAUACAUGAACACACACACACACACACACACACACAUACUCAUGUGAGUAAUUUCUGGCAUGAUAGGGAAUUGUGACAGGGAUCCUGCUUCAGUUUGUCAUAACAGCAGUUGCUCAGGAGAGGAAGUGAGAAUGUCAGCUGCUUCCCCAUAAUAGGGGAGUAGACCCCCAUCCAUCAUAGCAGAUGAUGCACAGUGAAUGCUUAAGCAUUUCUAAUUCCCCAACAGGAUUCUGGCCCACAUAACAGGAUAUUAUGCUUGUGUAUAUCACCAACAGGAUACCAGUUGUAACCUCCACUGAUCCACCCUUGAUCAUCCCUUUUGCCCUAGCAAGCAUGAUAAACAAAAAGAAAGCUCCUGUGCAGGGCCGGUUGUUACUAGGCGGCCGCGGACGCGCCCGCCUCGGCCGCUUGCCUGCUAGGGCCCCAU
rnacentral:lncRNA from 1 species